CAGGACUAGUGGGCUUUGAUCCCACAAAAACUAGUUAACAGCUAGAUACCUAAACUAACAGGAAUUAAUCCA
rnacentral:tRNA from 1 species